UGGGGAAUUUUGGACAAUGGGCGAAAGCCUGAUCCAGCAAUGCCGCGUGUGUGAAGAAGGCCUUCGGGUUGUAAAGCACUUUUGUCCGGAAAGAAAUCCUUGGCUCUAAUACAGUCGGGGGAUGACGGUACCGGAAGAAUAAGCACCGGCUAACUACGUGCCAGCAGCCGCGGUAAUACGUAGGGUGCAAGCGUUAAUCGGAAUUACUGGGCGUAAAGCGUGCGCAGGCGGUUUGCUAAGACCGAUGUGAAAUCCCCGGGCUCAACCUGGGAACUGCAUUGGUGACUGGCAGGCUAGAGUAUGGCAGAGGGGGGUAGAAUUCCACGUGUAGCAGUGAAAUGCGUAGAGAUGUGGAGGAAUACCGAUGGCGAAGGCAGCCCCCUGGGCCAAUACUGACGCUCAUGCACGAAAGCGUGGGGAGCAAACAGGAUUAGAUACCCUGGUAGUCCACGCCCUAAAACGAUGUCAACUAGUUGUUGGGGAUUCAUUUCCUUAGUAACGUAGCUAACGCGUGAAGUUGACCGCCUGGGGGAGUACGGUCGCAAGAUUAAAACUCAAAUGAAUUGACGGGGUAUAGCUGUUUCCU
rnacentral:rRNA from 1 species